CCUCCGUGCUAAACGUAAACAUCCGACAUGAAUUAAGUAUAUAUUUCAAAAGAAAAAUAAAGAAAAGAUGUAUAAAUGUACAACAGAAACAUAAUAAAUGGCAAACACAAGAAAAUACUGAGUUUUGUGGCAGAUAGAAGCAGCCUCAAAGGCUGUUUUUACUCCGUCACUCGUCAAUACCCGUAUCUCCCCGCCUGCGUCACGACUUGCUCUGCUGAAAUUACCGCACCAUAACCACGUCAUCUGCCCCAAUGAUCUACGGGCCGGAGAACCAGCGCAGAAAAGGAGUAAGUUUAAUUGGUCGCCAGAUGAAACGGUCUUCUUACAUCAAAUUCAAGAAAAAAUACGUAUAAUCAGAGGGUGUUAUGGGAAGAGCAUCACCCCUGAGGAUAAGAAGAGAGCGUGGACUGAAGUGGCGGAAGCUGUAACAAGUGCCUUCCCUGGGAGUGGACCCCGUACGCAGGAUGACUGUGAGAGGCGUUGGUACAACGUACAACAAAAAUCAAAGCCUUGCAUUGCCAAGUGCAAGAAUGAGCAGCGGCAGACUGAUACACACUUUAUCAGUAUUGCUAGAGACCAUCCCAGCACAUUGUUCAUUACUUGUGGAAAAGAUACCAUUAGCUGCUCCGGCAACAGCCACUGCUUCAAUAUCUGCUGGCCCUAUGACACCAGCCACUGUUUCAUCAUCUGCUGGCCCUAUGACACCAGCCACUGCUUCAUCAUCUGCUGGCCCUAUGACACCAGCCACUGUUUCAUCAUCUGCUGGCCCUAUGACACCAGCCACUGCUUCAUCAUCUGCUGGCCCAAUGACACCUGCCACUGCAAGGGAUGACAAUGAAGCUGCUCCACCAGUCACCACCUACUUCAUCGGAGUUAAGAGAUGCCUUUCAUAGGGCAGCAGUAUAAUUUUUUGAUGCUGGGGCUGAAUAUUACUGCCUCAAGGCUAUGAUUUUGUCACUUUUUUUUUUAUUACUGAGGAGGUUAGGGUGGAAGGGGUGAAAAAUAAUUUGUGCUGUUUUUCGACAGAAAUGAUUAGCAAAUUCAUUCAAAGCACAAAAUUUACUGGAAAAAAAAUUGUGUGCCAUUGUGAGUGGGUUCACUUGAGAUUGGGCUCCAAUACGCCUCCGUGGU